rfam:Morus notabilis contig594, whole genome shotgun sequence.
GUGUUCUUAGAAAGGAGAGACGGUUGGCAUCUCCCCUGACAGGGACGGGAACAACCUUCGGGUUCCCUGUUAACACACCCGGUUUUACCGGAUAAAGGCUAACAAAAUUUUUU